rnacentral:tRNA from 1 species
GGGCGCAUCGCCAAGCGGUAAGGCACGAGGCUGCAACCCUCGAAUCCUGGGUUCAAAUCCCAGUGCGCCCU